rnacentral:rRNA from 1 species
GAUGAACGCUGGCGGCGUGCCUAAUACAUGCAAGUCGAGCGAACAGAUGAGGAGCUUGCUUCUCUGACGUUAGCGGCGGACGGGUGAGUAACACGUGGAUAACCUACCUAUAAGACUGGGAUAACUUCGGGAAACCGGAGCUAAUACCGGAUAAUAUAUUGAACCGCAUGGUUCAAUAGUGAAAGACGGUUUUGCUGUCCCUUAUAGAUGGAUCCGCGCCGCAUUAGCUAGUUGGUAGGGUAACGGCUUACCAAGGCGACGAUGCGUAGCCGACCUGAGAGGGUGAUCGGCCACACUGGAACUGAGACACGGUCCAGACUCCUACGGGAGGCAGCAGUAGGGAAUCUUCCGCAAUGGGCGAAAGCCUGACGGAGCAACGCCGCGUGAGUGAUGAAGGUCUUCGGAUCGUAAAACUCUGUUAUUAGGGAAGAACAAAUGUGUAAGUAACUAUGCACGUCUUGACGGUACCUAAUCAGAAAGCCACGGCUAACUACGUG